rnacentral:rRNA from 1 species
GUACUCAACAAGGAAGUGACGGCUAACUACGUGCCAGCAGCCGCGGUAAAACGUAGGUCACAAGCGUCGUCCGGAAUUACUGGGUGUAAAGGGAGCGCAGGCGGGAAGACAAGUUGGAAGUGAAAUCCAUGGGCUCAACCCAUGAACUGCUUUCAAAACUGUUUUUCUUGAGUAGUGCAGAGGUAGGCGGAAUUCCCGGUGUAGCGGUGGAAUGCGUAGAUAUCGGGAGGAACACCAGUGGCGAAGGCGGCCUACUGGGCACCAACUGACGCUGAGGCUCGAAAGUGUGGGUAGCAAACAGGAUUAGAUACCCUGGUAGUCCACACUGUAAACGAUGAUUAUUAGGUGUUGGAGGAUUGACCCCUUCAGUGCCGCAGUUAACACCAUAAGUAAUCCACCUGGGGA